GUUCUCGCUUCAGGAGCACAUGUACUAAAAUUGGAAAGAUACAGAGUAGAUUAACAUGACCUCUUUGUAAUGAUGCAAACUCAUGAAAUGUUCUAUAUUUCU